AUUCUGAUAUUAUAGUCGAUUAAGUUUUUUUUUAAAGCAAUUACUUUUCCGGAUAUAUAAAUACUUAGCAGCACUCAUCUUUGAUAUCUGCUUAAAACUUUUUCGCAAUAUGAUGCACCUUCUGCUGUUUGUGCUUUGUCUUAUCGUAGGGCUGACUUCAACCGUAGAUGGGUCUUGUUUUAUGAUUCCGCCAAAAGAAGAUUCUUUAGAUUGUAUCUACAAAGGAAGAAUAAUAAAAGAUGAUAAAAGUUAUACCGAAAAAUGUAUUAGCUGUAGCUGUAGUAAAGGAAACAUGCAAUGCUGCUCUAUCGGCAUGCGCAUCUCUAGCAAACCUGCUGAUUGUAAAGUGGUACCUGAUGGACCUUGUUCGCAAAAGGUUGUCCUUAUUAGUGACGAAAAUAAGCCCUGUCCAGGAGGAUUCUCCAUGGUUGGGCGUUGAAUUUGAAUAUAUGACCUAUUUUAUUUAAUACUGUAGUUAUAAAAUUGUUUAUGAAAUUGUGUGUAAUGAUGUUAAUAAGCCUGUAUAACUUCUA